rnacentral:rRNA from 1 species
GACGAACGCUGGCGGCGUGCUUAACACAUGCAAGUCGAACGGAAAGGCCUGCUUUCCCUUGUGGAUUGCGGGUACUCGAGUGGCGAACGGGUGAGUAACACGUGAGUGAUCUGCCCCCAACUUGGGUAUAAGCCUGGGAAACUGGGUCUAAUUCCCGAUAGGACUGCAGGGUGGUGCCUGUGGUGGAAAACGAUUUUCUAGUGGUUGGGGAUGAGCUCGCGGCCUAUCAGCUUGUUGGUGGGGUAAUGGCCUACCAAGGCGGCGACGGGUAGCCGGCCUGGGAGGGUGGACGGCCACAUUGGGACUGAGAUACGGCCCAGACUCCUACGGGAGGCAGCAGUGGGGAAUAGUGCCAAAUGGGCGGAAGCCUGAUGCAGCGACGCCGCGUGGGGGAUGACGGCCUUCGGGUUGUAAACUCCUUUCGACCGCGAGGAAGCCACCUGGUUGGAAGGGUGGUGACGGUAGUGGUAGAAGAAGCACCGGCUAACUACGUG